rnacentral:lncRNA from 1 species
UAGAUACACCAAGUACUGUACAUACUGUUACAUUAAUUUCAUGAAAUCGUUACAUUGUAAAAACAUCCAAGUCUUGGCCUCUUAAGCAAGGACGCAGCCAAGGGUUGGGAUUUGAAUGUCCAUUCUUUGUUGUUUUUUUCGGCUGCUUCGCACGCCAACUUGCAUACAUUACUAUUAUUUACGCUGUAACUUUUGUAUAAAGUUUGUUGGUAACCGUCUUUGUCUUAAAAGAUCAAUGGAUUGAGCCCCGAUAGCUUUUAACAUGUUUUACUUAACGUUUCAAUGUUGAAUCCAGUGAUUUUACAGAGGAUUGGAUGUAUCUAUCAAAAGAGAGGAGUGUUAUUACAGCCAUCAUAUAUUUAAGUUGAUCAACAAACCGAAGAUGGAAUGUAGAAAUGCCGAACACAAAAGCAGGAUUUUCUCAAGCCUAGAACUGAUCCGGUAUCGGCUCCCAUCUCUUCGGCCGAAGCAGAAGAGAAUGAUCAGAAAAAUGUAACUGGCCAACCUUCUUCGAACUGUAGAAACUUCCGGGUAUCGUCUUCUGAAGAAUGUUCCCUACGAUGGGAACUGCUUUUUUUCAUGUUGUUGGUGCCACAAAUGGUGAGGAUGGCAAGCACUUGAGAGAGAGAUUCGUUCAGCAUAUUGUAAGAGAGGUAUAAAACAUUGCUUUCGUGGGGAAGUUAUACGUCAACAUUCAAAGAAACAGACAAGUCAAAAGAUUUCCUGUGGCCAGACGUUAUACAGACCAGAAAUUGUUAUGGAUGUAUGUGUGACCACUCAGACCACUCAGCCUAAAAGUAACUUAUGGGUGCUGCAGACCAAUUAUGCCGACGUCAUGGAUUCUAGGGUGUGCAAAGCAACUGCUGAACUCAUUUUACAACCCGUACACAUCAUCACGCACUCCAAAGAUGCGAAAAAAAACUGCCGCGGUUUGAGGUUGUAGAGUCCGAGUUAGUCUGUUCGACGAAUCAAGUUCAGCCGAUAACAAUAGGUCACAUCCAGGACAGUCACUUUGUUCCACUUGUAAAAACUGUCUGAUGGAUGGGAUGGACAUUCUCGAUCUGAAGCUGCAGAUUUCCUUCACUCGAUAACCUAGCUUCGACUUUAUUGUGAUCUUCAUGGUUCUGUAUCAAGGUCUUUCUGCUUUGUCGGGGAUCAAUGUACAACUACAAGAAAAGGCAACCGAUGUGUAUGAUGCUUUUAAAAAGACAGGUUGACAACAUGAAAGAGAUGUACAAUGCCUUGCGAAAGAAAAUCAUCCAGAGCUUCCAUGACUGGUUUUGGCAGGCCAUAUCGCAUGACAGAAAGGGUCGGAACAACUCCAGAGAUGCCGAGAACGGCUGGUCGUCGGAAGAAUCGACCCAACGCCUUUGGUGAAAAGAAUGAAACGCUGUGUCUACAUAAGAUCGAAUCCAUCCUACUACAGGAACACCCACGCAAUACCUUUCAUAGAUCACAUUUUGGUAGAGUGGGACCUCCGGUAUUCUGGUUGCCAUGGUGACAUAGAUGGCGGACCUUACAUACAGAACAUUGACGGAGGUGUUUUCAGAUUUGGAGCAUAGAGGAUUUUUCCAAACUGAUGGCUGAUGUUGAAUACAAGCACAUGUGAAGAUAUAAUGUUGUAGAUAUCGCAAUGGUUUAGCGGACGGUGCAGCUAUGGUAACUAAUGUUGACUUCACAAGCACUGCAAGGAAGUCUUGUUGUAGAUUUCACAAUGGUUUAGUGGAUUGUGCAGCUUGGUCGUUUUUCUAGGGCACAACGGGAAAGCUAAGGUCGACAUUUCUUCCAGAGUAACUUGAGAGCUUCGGGCAUGCGCAUACAGUUUCUGGCUUUGGUGAUUGUAAAGCUCGAAGUAUUUGGUGAGAGACUAACCAACGAAGGACACAAACCAUCUGACGAGUAGCAGUUUCCUAGAUCAUACACGAAGAAACUUUUAGUUAAUGGAACUACAAUUGCCACAGGCCUGCCUUGCUGGUACCAUAAAGCUGCCGAUAAACAGAGGUGCACUAGUACCUGUCGAUACCGGUCACCAGAGACGCACUGGUACCCUAUCGAUGCCGAUCAUCAGAGGUGUGCUGGACCCCUUAUGUCAUGAUGUCAACAUAUUGAUCAGGUGUUUUCAACCAGGUUUGAAAAGGCAAGACAACAGUUUUACGUUACUGAAAGACAUAGAAAAGAAUCGAUUGCAGAAACAUAUCAUCAUGCUGUCCUGUGUUUGUUAUUUCCAACAGAUGACAGUGCGAUGCGUUCCAGAUUGAUUUCAAACACACAAGAGAGAAAUAUAUGCGGAAGGAAGAAAGAAGUAUGAUGAAUUCACGACAAACCUUGCACAGGAUAUAAGCAUGACACCACCACAGCCACCCUGACACAAGCAUAUUUAAACAAAUUAGAAAUAAGCUGACAUGUUUAUAAUCAUAUCCCCACGUACAAAGUAUAUGGGGUUAUAUUGGAGUCACGUAUGUCCACCAGUCUGUUCGUCCGUCCGUCCAUCGUGUCCGCUUUCAUAAAACUGACAUCAAUUAUUAACCACAUCAAGACGGUGUGCUGAGCUCACAACCCAUGUCACUAGGUCCAAAGUUAAGGUUACUCUUUGAGGUCAAAAGUCAUAUAGUUUAACUUCAUGUCCGCUCCAUAUUGUCUAAAUGGCUUGGAAGGUACAAAGCUCCACUACUCGAAUAAUAAAGAUGAUUGUUAUACUUGCCUUUGCGUCGGUGUCACUGUCACCGAUGUAUUCAAGUUAAAAUUUUAUGGCAAGCUUGUGUCACUAUAUAUUCUUUACUACUUCCCCUUUUAACUUCAAACUUCAUAUAAGUGUUAGUCUUGGUAAGGGACAGACAUCUAUUACUUUUAGAGUCUGGCUUCCUAAACGUCAAGGUCACUGGGUCAAACAUUAUAACAGUGCUGGUUAAAGUUUGACAAACCUCAAUUUCACCAUAUCCUCUUAACCAUAUAAUCACCAAACCUUACAUAAGGAUUGACCUUAGGAAAGGGCAAACAUCUUUAGGUUUAAGAUCAGGUAGGUCAAAGAUCAAGGGCACUGGGGUCAGAUUUUAUAAUAAUGUUGGUUAAAGUUUUAUGGCACACUUCUCAGUUUGACAUAUAACUCAUACUGUUUCUUUGCACUGGUAUCCCGUAUAUCCCACAUUUUUAAGCCCUACCCACACUGUCUAUACCCCAAUCCCGACACCUACCCAAAGAUACAUUCCUCACACAAACUUACAUUACAUAUUCCCCUCAUCUCCACUGCCCACCUGUCUUCACCUACUUCCACCAAUCCCAUUUCACCACUUCUCGCUCAAAACAAAGAAGAUUUAUUUUACAUUUUCUUUACAAUUAAUUAUAUUGUAAAUCAAUGUAUAUCUUGUAUAUCAUAUGUUUAUAUGAUGUUUAAGUAUCCCUUAUUCCCACA